rnacentral:lncRNA from 1 species
CUUUUUUUUUUGGAUUGCACAAAUUUAUUAAAAUUGGAGACAUUGUUUUAAUCUUCUUGUGCCAUGAGACUCCAUCAGGCUGUCUACAAAGACCAUUGGGAGGCUAAGGAUCACUUGAGCCCAGGAGUUCGAGGCUACAGUAAGCCUCAAAGGGCCACUGCACUCCAGCUUAGGUGAGGCAAGACCCUUUCAAGUGGUCUGCCUGCAUUUCUUCAAGCAUGAAUUCUGAGUCCUUUGCUUCUUUAAAACUUGUUCCACACAGUGUAGUCAAGCCGACUGUGUUG